UACGUAGGGGGCUAGCGUUGUCCGGAUUUAUUGGGCGUAAAGAGCGUGUAGGCGGCCAGGUAGGUCUGGUGUGAAAACUCGAGGCUUAACCUCGAGAUGUCAUCGGAAACCAUCUGGCUAGAGUCCGGAAGAGGAGAGUGGAAUUCCUGGUGUAGCGGUGAAAUGCGCAGAUAUCAGGAGGAACACCAAUAGCGAAGGCAGCUCGCUGGGACGGUAUUGACGCUAAGGCGCGAAAGCGUGGGGAGCAAACAGG
rnacentral:rRNA from 1 species